AACAUUUUAAGACAAAAAUACCCCUUGUCUUUUUCAAUAUUUACACCAUUCUCUGCCGCUGCUCUCUCUUCCCGUAGACUUCAUCCUCAUCCUUCCUCCUCAUCCUUCUUCUUCAUCCUCUCCCGUAGCCGUCGACUGCACCCAGCCAGCACACAGCAGCACGGAGCCACUACCGUCGCACUACAGAUUGACCCAGGUGGAGGUUCAAGUGAGGAAGUUGUAUUGUGUGAGUAAGGCUGCUGUUUUACCUAUUAACAUUGAGGAUGCUGCUCGGAGUGAUGUCGAAAUCGAAAAGGCUUUGCUGGUACAUUUAGAUGAUUUAUUUUGAAAGGGAUUAUUGAAGCUUUGUUAAGCUCUCUGGGACUUUCUCUCUUAGUAUGUGUAUAUUCAUUGGGUGGUAUGAUGGGUUUAUAGGCCGGCGAAACAAUUGUUUGAGUUAAUCAGGAUGCCCACUUGAAUAACCAAGUUCUUGAUUUGCGAACACCUGCGAAUCAAGGGAUAUUCCGCAUUCAGAGUCAACUUGGCAAUAUCUUUAGGCAGUUCUUGAUAUCCGAAUGCUUUUUUGAAAUCCACUCGCCAAAGCUGAUUGCUGGUUCAAGUAAAGGUGGAGCUGCUGUUUUUAGACUCAACUACAAGGGUCAAGAUGCCUGCCUUGCCCAGUCACCUCAGCUCACAAGCAGAUGUCUAUAUGUGGGGACUUCGGCCGUAUUUUUGAGAUUGGUCCUGUUUUUAGAGCUGAGGACUCCUUUACCCAUAGGCAUUUGUGUGAGUUCACUGGCCUUGAUGUUGAGAUGGAGAUCAAGAGGCACUACUUUGAGGUGGAAUUAGUAAUUUUUUAGGCAUUUAUUUACCUUUAUCGCCCUAUAUGACGAUGUAUGUUAACUUAUGGUGCAAUUAUAUGCUUGUUUGUUCAGGUCA